UACAGAGGGUGCGAGCGUUGUCCGGAAUUACUGGGCGUAAAGGGCGCGUAGGCGGCUUGGUAAGUCGGGGGUGAAAGUCAGCGGCUCAACCGCUGGACUGCCUUCGAGACUGCCUGGCUUGAGCAUGGUAGAGGCUGGCGGAAUUCCCGGUGUAGCGGUGGAAUGCGUAGAGAUCGGGAAGAACAUCGGUGGCGAAGGCGGCCAGCUGGGCCAUUGCCGACGCUGAUGCGCGACAGCGUGGGGAGCAAACAGG
rnacentral:rRNA from 1 species